UUGUGAAUCAUCUGGGGAUCUUAUUAAAAUGCAGGUUCUGAUCCAGUAGGUCUGGGAUAAGGCCAAGAGCCUGCUUUUCUAACAAGCUCCCAGGAGGUGCUGAG
rnacentral:pre_miRNA from 1 species